GCGUUGGCUCUACCGCGGAUG
rnacentral:miRNA from 1 species